rnacentral:misc_RNA from 1 species
GAUGAAGAACGUAGCGAAAUGCGAUAAGUAGUGUGAAUUGCAGAAUUCAGUGAAUCAUCGAAUCUUUGAACGCACAUUGCGCCCUUUGGUAUUCCUUAGGGCAUGCCUGUUCGAGCGUCACUUAAACCUUCAAGCUCAGCUUGGUGUUGGGUGACUGUCCGCUUCACCGCGGACUCGCCUCAAAAUUAUUGGCGGCCGGUACAUUGGCUUCGAGCGCAGCAGAAACGCGAACUCGGGCCCGUCGUAUUGGCUCCCAGAAGCUAUCUUCACAAUUUUGACCUCGGAUCAGGUAGGGAUACCCGCUGAACUUAAGCAUAUCAAUAAGCGGAGGA